rnacentral:rRNA from 1 species
UACGUAGGUGACCAGCGUUGUCCGGAUUCAUUGGGCGUAAAGAGCUCGUAGGCGGUUCGAUAAGUCGGGUGUGAAACCUCCAGGCUCAACCUGGAGACGCCACCCGAUACUGUCGUGACUAGAGUCCAGUAGGGGAGCGUGGAAUUCCUGGUGUAGCGGUGAAAUGCGCAGAUAUCAGGAGGAACACCCGUAGCGAAGGCGGCACUCUGGGCCGAUACUGACACUGAGGAGCGAAAGCGUGGGGAGCGAACAGG